GGUCGGAUGGCUGAGUGGAUAGGCUAAGGCAUGCAAUACCUUAUAGAAUGGUUCAAUUCCAUUUCCGACCU
rnacentral:tRNA from 2 species